rnacentral:rRNA from 1 species
GACGAACGCUGGCGGCGUGCCUAAUACAUGCAAGUAGAACGCUGAAGCGAGGAGCUUCCUCUUCUUGGAUGAGUUGCGAACGGGUGAGUAACGCGUAGGUAACCUGCCUUGUAGCGGGGGAUAACUAUUGGAAACGAUAGCUAAUACCGCAUAACAAUGGAUGACACAUGUCAUUUAUUUGAAAGGGGCAAUUGCUCCACUACAAGAUGGACCUGCGUUGUAUUAGCUAGUAGGUGAGGUAAUGGCUCACCUAGGCGACGAUACAUAGCCGACCUGAGAGGGUGAUCGGCCACACUGGGACUGAGGCACGGCCCAGACUCCUACGGGAGGCAGCAGUAGGGAAUCUUCGGCAAUGGGGGCAACCCUGACCGAGCAACGCCGCGUGAGUGAAGAAGGUUUUCGGAUCGUAAAGCUCUGUUGUAAGUCAAGAACGGGUGUGAGAGUGGAAAGUUCACACUGUGACGGUAGCUUACCAGAAAGGGACGGCUAACUACGUG